rnacentral:lncRNA from 1 species
UCUCGUUCGGAUACGGUUUCACCUAUAUAAAAACCCAAGCCCAACUCAAUUAAUUUGACCCGUAGCGUGCCCAAAGCCUAACGGCAUGACGUGGUCUGGGCUGGAUUUUGGGCCCACAAGGCUGAUAACCAGAAUUUUUGGGGAAGGUCUGAUUAAUUUCGAGAUUAUCGCAGACAGUGAAUGGAGCCCAAAAGAAUGGCUUGAGUUGAGUCUGGUCAGGAUCGGACCUGACCCCCUACUCUUGGGACCCCUAUACGACCAUAUUUUAACUAUAUAAAGUUGCAACUUGCAAGAUACUACAGGACA